AAGUCGUACGUAUCCAACGUUUAUACCCCUGUGAACCUACAGCCCUAUUCUUGUGCGCCCGUUCGGACAGCAAUCCCUAGUAAUUCAUUGUUGAUCAGAGUUUGAUUUAGGGACCUCUGUACGGAAGGACUGCGGUUUGCGUGCAAUUGAGUGGUAGCGCAAGCAUCCUGGUGCCUUCUAGACGGUUAUCGUGUGGAAGUGACGAUAACGUUACCGUGUGUCAGUGACGGUAACCUGUCAACGAGGUGACUCCUAAACACGUUUGCUAGAGGUCCACACGACCGGCAACCGGGAUCCCCUCGCAAGAAUUUAGCGUGCACCUAACGGUCGUACGCACCCCCAAACUGAACAACUGUUAACAAUGGAUAUCUUGGUUCUC
rnacentral:misc_RNA from 1 species